rnacentral:lncRNA from 1 species
CUGCUCUUCUACACCAAAAAGAACCAUCUGAUGUGCUCAAUAUUUAAUAAAUGAACUGAAGCUCUAAUGAGAGAAUGCUGUGAGCUCCAGCGAUAUAUCCCUGCCACCUUCUAUCUGUGUGCAAAUCCACCAGAAGUCAGGGCAUGAAGAAGAGUACUACUCAGCCAAAAGAAGGAUAAACUUGAGAGAUUUAUAGCUAAAUGGAUGCACCUUGAGGCUUUACUCUUAAGUGAAAUAAGUUGGACACACAUGUGUACAUAUCAGAUUAUCUCUCAAGGGUAAGUAAGGACCAAAAUGUAUAAUAGAUAAUGUGAAAAAAGGAAGAAAUUAUUCAAAAGGAAAGGGGAACUGGGAAGCGGGGGGGAGGGGGAAAAGAAGCAAGGGAAAAGAAAAAAAAAGAAAAGAAAGAGAAAAUGGAAACAAAGCUUUGUAAAUAAGGAGGGGAGGGAAUUGGGAGAAAAAGAGCAAUCAAGAUAUACCAUGUACUGGCGCAUUGAGGCGAUACUCUUAAGUGAAAUAAAUAGGAC